rnacentral:rRNA from 1 species
UGCAAGUCUGGUGCCAGCAGCCGCGGUAAUUCCAGCUCCAAUAGCGUAUAUUAAAGUUGUUGCAGUUAAAAAGCUCGUAGUUGAACCUUGGGCUUGGUUGGCCGGUCCGCCUUUUUGGCGAGUACUGGACCCAACCGAGCCUUUCCUUCUGGCUAACCUUUCGCCCUUGUGGUGUUUGGCGAACCAGGACUUUUACUUUGAAAAAAUUAGAGUGUUCAAAGCAGGCCUUUGCUCGAAUAUAUUAGCAUGGAAUAAUAGAAUAGGACGUUAUGGUUCUAUUUUGUUGGUUUCUAGGACCAUCGUAAUGAUUAAUAGGGACGGUCGGGGGCAUCAGUAUUCAGUUGUCAGAGGUGAAAUUCUUGGAUUACCUGAAGACUAACUACUGCGAAAGCAUUUGCCAAA